rnacentral:lncRNA from 1 species
AAUUGCAUGAGUCAACAAUAGAUUCUCUCUCAACAACAAGAAAAUUUUAUUGUUGUAGCGAUUCGAUUUAAUGUUAAAAAUUUGGAUUUCGUGAUCUUUGUCUGUAAAAAAUGGGAUUUCGACGGACCAUUGUACGAGUUUGUCUCGAGCCUUUUACUCGUUUUCACAGUCAUCAGCCAUAAACAAUUCGCAUAGAGCCAAAAUAUCCUGGAACUAUAUCCUAAAAUAUGAGUAAAGAUAGAAAACGAGUUUUAUACCAAACAACUUGUUGCUCAAUUGAAAAUUUAAUAAUACUUGAAUGUUCAUUAAAAAUUUGAGCCUUUAAUAUAAAAAAUUUGGGACCAACUAAAUAUGUCAAUAAAGAAGUUAUGAUAAUUAUCAAAAAGUUUAUGCAGUAUAAAAAUAAAAGAAAUCCUCAUAAUUUUCCUCAUAUUCUACAAAACAGACUAUAUAUUACAAUUCCUUGAGUCAAAUUUGCAAUUAUUAUUAUUACCUGUAAGCUAAACGUAAAGCAAACAUUUCCAGACUAGCAGAUUGAAAUAAAAGUUCUUGAUCAUCUUUAUCUAAUUCAAGGAAGCCAGGAAUUUUUUCUGCAAACAUUCGUAUGACAUCAAUGGAUGAAGUCAGAAGAUUAUAAAAUUGUUGAACCUUUUCUGCUUCAGUUGUUGGGGAUUCUUUACCAGAAAGGAACAUUUUUAGUCCCGGACAUGGAAAUACUACCUCAUUUUGACGUCACCACAAGAUGACGUGUAGUAGGGGCUACGGAUCAGCAGUAGCUCCAUCUGUAUCCGUGACAUCACGGCCCUCUGACGUCAGUGACGCAGUCAUUGACGUCAGAAACGUAUGUGCCAGGUGUGGCACAGACGGCUACGUCACCAAUGUCCACUACCUUCUUUCCAUCUCAUUGAUGAGCUAAUGACAUCGUUAAGAAUGUAAUACGUCAUCGAGGUCAGUAUGUGUCCUAUAAAUUUUGUCCUUGUCUUAUGUGCAGGAUGACAGUCACGUCUGAGGUAUAACUUUACCGCUCGGGCAUUAACACUUAAUACAUAAUAUGCAUUAAAAAAUAUAUAUGUACAGUAUAUGCUGUGUGCAGUAAGGGAUCAAUUAUACGUUGUUAAUAAAUGAAUAAUUCUAUAGUUUACGAAACAUGUUACGCAUACGAGAAUGAUAUAAUGAUUAAAGUGUUGCAGAUAUUUUUGCAUGUGACGUAGAAGCGGGCGAGGAUCGAUAAUAUAUAAUAUUCGUGAGUGUUGUAUUAAUUGUUUUGUCUAUAAUACAUGUUACUAUACUGUUUACACGAAAAGUUUCCAAUCUAUACAGUAAAUAAUAAUAAUAUUUUAUCUAUAUUUACGCUCCUUUACGAUAUUUUCCCUUAUACAAGCAGAAACACUUAAGGAAAGGAAGUCAAACACUUCCUUUCUCACACUUAUCUCAAUUGUUUCCUAUGAUAUCAAUAGUGCAACAGUUUUAAAACCUUUAUAACCGGCUUUACACCCUUUAAGACGUGUAAAAAAAUUUAAAAAAUGGCUUAAUUUUUAAUUAAAAUCAUUAUAAUUUAGCAUCUCUUUCAGUUAACAAGAGGAAAUAUCAA